rnacentral:rRNA from 1 species
AUUGAACGCUGGCGGCAGGCCUAACACAUGCAAGUCGAGCGAGCGGCGGACGGGUGAGUAAUGUAUGGGGACUGCCCGAUAGAGGGGGAUAACUACUGGAAACGGUAGCUAAUACCGCAUACUAUCGGAUAACCCAUAUGGGAUUAGCUAGUAGGUGAGGUAAUGGCUCACCUAGAGGACGAUCCCUAGCUGGUCUGAGAGGAGGAUCAGCAAAAGGGGGACUGAGACACGGCCCAGACUCCUACGGAGCCAGCAGGGGGGAAGAUUGCACAAUGGGCGCGAGCCGGAUGCAGCCAUGCCGGGUGUAUGAAGAAGGCCCUAGGGUUGUAAAGUACUUUCAGUCGGGAGGCGUUACCGACAGAAGAAGCACCGGCUAACUCCGUGCCAGCCGCCGCGGUAAUUC